rnacentral:rRNA from 1 species
CUUCGGGAGAAGGUGCGCCCGCAUUACGUGAAACCCCUGCGGGUGGAGCGGAAGCGGGCCGCAGUGACCAGGUGGCUGCGACUGUUUACUAAAAACACAGCACUCUGCCAACAUGAAAGUGGACGUAUAGGGUGUGACGCCUGCCCGGUGCCGGAAGGUUAAGUGAUGGGGUCAGCGCAAGCGAAGCUCUGGAUCGAAGCCCCGGUAAAACGGCGGCCGUAACUAUAACGGUCCUAAGGUAGCGAAAUUCCUUGUCGGGUAAGUUCCGACCUGCACGAAUGGCGUAACGAUAGCCACACUGUCUCCACCCGAGACUCCGUGAAAUUGAAAUCGCUGUGAAGAUGCAGCGUACCCGCGGCAAGACGGAAAGACCCCGUGAACCUUCACUACAGCUUUGCACUGGAUUUGAGCGUUCUUGUGUAGGAUAGGUGGGAGGCUGUGAAACCGGCGCCAGUCCUGGUGGAGCCAACCUUGAAAUACCACCCUGGAACGCUCGAGGUUCUAACCUCGGACCCCUAUCGGGUUCAGGGACCGUGCAUGGUGGGUAGUUU